rnacentral:rRNA from 1 species
GCUUGUCUCAAAGAUUAAGCCAUGCAUGUCUAAGUAUAAGCAUUAUACAGUGAAACUGCGAAUGGCUCAUUAUAUCAGUUAUAGUUUAUUUGAUAGUCCCUGCUAUUUGGAUAACCGUAGUAAUUCUAGAGCUAAUACAUGACCAGAGGCGCGCCCGCGCCGCAUUUAUUAGAUACAACCAGCCCUCCGGGCCUUGGCGAGUCAUAAUAACUGAGCUGACCGUAUUCGUACGGCGUUUCUUAUUAAUUUCUGCCCUAUCAGCUUUCGAUGGUAGGGUAUUGGCCUACCAUGGCGUUAACGGGUAACGGAGAAUUAGGGUUCGAUUCCGGAGAGGGAGCCUGAGAGAUGGCUACCACAUCCAAGGAAGGCAGCAGG